rnacentral:rRNA from 1 species
AUGAUGAUCGCCGCCUCUCUUCCGCCUCAUUUUUGGGCCGAGGCUAUCUCCACUUCCGUCUAUCUCAUCAACCUUCAGCCAUCUGCUGCUUUGCAGGGUGGUGUUCCUUUUGAGCGUCUGUUUGAUCGUUCUCCCGAUUAUUCGAUGCUUCGCUUGUUUGGUUGUGUUUGCUAUGUUCUUCUUGCCCCUCGCGAACGCACCAAACUGACCGCUCAGUCUGUUGAGUGUGUCUUCUUAGGCUACAGUGAUGAGCAUAAGGGCUAUCGUUGUUGGGAUCCUGUCGGUCGUCGGAUGCGUAUCUCUCGAGACGUGACUUUUGAUGAGUCUCGUCCUUUUUAA